UGUGAGCAAGAGCGUCUGUGCUGAACC
rnacentral:piRNA from 1 species